rnacentral:rRNA from 1 species
UACGUAGGGGGCUAGCGUUGUCCGGAUUUAUUGGGCGUAAAGAGCGUGUAGGCGGCCAGGUAGGUCCGUUGUGAAAACUCGAGGCUCAACCUCGAGACGUCGGCGGAAACCAUCUGGCUAGAGUCCGGAAGAGGAGAGUGGAAUUCCUGGUGUAGCGGUGAAAUGCGCAGAUAUCAGGAGGAACACCGGUGGCGAAGGCGGGUCUCUGGGCCGAUACUGACGCUGAGGAGCGAAAGCGUGGGGAGCGAACAGG